rnacentral:rRNA from 1 species
UACGGAGGAUCCGAGCGUUAUCCGGAUUUAUUGGGUUUAAAGGGUGCGUAGGGGGUUUGAUAAGUUAGAGGUGAAAUGUCGGGGCUCAACCCCGAAACUGCCUCUAAUACUGUUGGACUAGAGAAUAGUUGCGGUAGGCGGAAUGUAUGGUGUAGCGGUGAAAUGCUUAGAGAUCAUACAGAACACCGAUUGCGAAGGCAGCUUACCAAACUAUAUCUGACGUUGAGGCACGAAAGCGUGGGUAGCAAACAGG